UUCUCUCUCUCUCUCUCUCUCAAGCUAGUCAGACUUGAAGGUGUGCCUAGUGGUCUCCCUGAAGAACCAAUUGAGGAGCUGCCAAGGACUUUGGAUUAUCAAAAGGAGUGAGUUCAAAGGAAGGAAUUUUAUUGGGAAGUGGCUAUGCUGAAGAAACCAACAGCAUCAAUAAAACUGAAAAAGAAGGAAUUCUAAAGCCAAAUAAUGUGUUUAGAGCUCUUCUUGAGUACGUAUUUAUAGUUACCAGUUAAGAGGGCCCAAGAGUCAAUUUCCAAAUAUGUUGCUCAAGGCUCCAGGAUAUAUGACCUAUGGACAGUGGUUUUAUGGCUUCUGUAUUAAUUUGAGAUUUGAAUUUUUCAUUGUUCUGUUCCUUUCCAUGCACGAAUGAUUGCUUUUGUUCCAGACAUUCUUUGGGGACUUUUCCACUUCUCUUCUGGCAUUCUUCCCAAAGUCAUGAGAAAUGGCCUUUGAAUUUGAAUAGGAGCAUCUCAAGUUGGCUAUUUCAGCAAAAAAAAAAAAUCACUUCCCUGGGCCUUGAUUUUUUUGUGUGUGAAAAGAGGGUGUUGGAAAUUAUAAAUAAAAUUUAAAAUUAAUUUA